GAUAUUAUCGAUUUGUUGUUUCUACACUGUAAAAAAAAAAGGUUUCCAAAAAAGGUUUUUCACACUUGCAUAAGGUUUUCUACCACUAGAAAACCUUUUGGUGUGUAAAAAAAGGUUUUUUGAAAGGGUUUUAUUAGAAAACCCUUUAGCAAAGGGUUUGUUCGUCGUAAAUCAUAUAAAAAACCCGAGUGCCGUUUAUUGAUAUCGAGGCAUAAUUAAAGAAGGAUAAAAAUAGAAAGGGUUUUAAAUAAAAUUACAAUUGCCUAGAAAUAUGAUAUUUUAAAUAAAAUAAAUAGUAUUUUUAUUUUAUUAUACUUAAAAUUGUAUUUUGUUAAAAUUUUUAAAGUAAAAUACGCAAAAUUGUAUACUUUUUAAGUUAACCGAUUUAUCUAUGAGAUUCCUAUAGGUCAAUUAAAAUAUUUUUACAAUUUUAAAGUAAAGCUAAUAAUUAAAAUUUAAAGUAAAACUAAUAAUAAAGUUAAAGAAUUAUGUCUGCAAAUAUUAAAAACUGGUCGCCUGCAGAAGUAGCCAAAUAGCUGUUAGAUAAUGGAUUUAAUGAAAAGACUGCAGCCGAAUUUGAAAAUUCCUGAUAAUAUACAAUAGCCAAAUAUGCCCCAAUUUUAUUGUGAAUGUGGCAACAAUUAUUUUUCAUUUGGAAAGUAAAUACUUUCCAUCUUUCCAUCAACGACAUCUUAUCUUGUUUCAUGAAAAUCAGCCUCUUUUUUACGUUAGAUGUGUUUCAAGUGCAUGCAAGCAAACUUUCAAAAGUGCUAAUAGUCUAAAAAAACAUGUUCAAUGAAAGCACAGUAAUUUAUUUAGAAGCUGGUCUAAUGAUAAUGAAAGAGAUCAGGGGAGUAGAAAUAAUAGAAAUGAUAACAUCAUAGAUUCAUCUGAAACAACCGAAGAAUCAAAUGAUCAAAAUAAUGUAAAGUUAGAUCAAGAUUUUAAAUGUAAAAAUAUUGCUGAUAUGCUUAACACUUUGGAAAAACAUUUUGCAUUUCUUCUUUGCGACUCAGAGAAGUGCACAUACUUCCAGCUUCUGUUCAUGCAGAAAUUGCAAAAGAUAUACAAAACCUACUUUUGAUUACACUAAGUAGUUUUAAGGAUGUUAUAUGUCAAUAUUUAUUCAAAAAUAAUAUUUUACCACUAGACAAUGAUUGGGCACAUAUAACAGACACAGAAAGAUUGCUGCAAUUCAUGGGUGAGAUGUCUUCAAAUGAAAAUAGACUAAUUGGAUUAUUGAAAAGCAAAAAAAUGAUUGCAAUGCCAAGACAAAUAGAUUUUAGAAAAAAUAAUACAACUGCUGUUUUUCAAUACAUUCUGAUUCUAGAAGUUUUAUCAAAAUUAGUUUCCCAUGAAGAUGUUUACAAUUGUUUGGGUGACAGUUACAAUCAGUCUUUUUCUAAUAAUGAUUUUAUGAUGUCUUUUUGUGACAGUGAACUUUUUCAUAGUGACAAUUUUUUUUCUGAAAAUCCAAGUGCAUUGCAGAUUCAGUUAUAUGUAGAUGUUGAGCUUUGCAAUCCAAUAGGAGCUAAGCGAGGGAAGCAUAAAGUGACUGCAUUUUAUUUUUUGUUAGGCAAUAUUCCAUCUAAGUUUCGUUCAAAGCAAAAGUUUAUUCAUUUGGCUUUAUUGAUUGAACAUAAAUUUAUAAAAAUGGCCGAAUAUGACUACACUGAAGUUCUUCAUCCAUUAAUUUAUGAUUUAAAUGUACUGCAGAGAAAAGGAAUUGAGAUUUCCGUUAAUGGAUUACGUCAACGUUUAAAAGGCAAACUUACAGGUAUAUCAGCUGAUAUGCUUUCAGCUCAUGCUAUAGGAGGAUUUUAGCAGUAUUUCCAUACUGGAAGAAUUUGUCGUUUCUGUAUGGUGGACAAGUCAGAAGUUGGAAAUAACUUUAGUGAAAGCACUCUUCGUCUCAGAACACCAGAAAUUCAUGAAUACCACUUAGCUGCUAUAAUUGAUAAUGCAGCAAACAAGAAUGUGUAUGGUGUUAGCAAAAAGUGUGAUUUUUUAGAGUUAGAUAACUUUGAUGUACUUACAGCUUUCCCUCCAGAUAUAAUGCAUGAUUUAUUUGAAGGCAUUAUGCCAGUAACUUUGAAAUGUGUUAUCAAACAUUUGUUACGUUCUUGUAAUACAUUAUCAGUAAAUAAUAUAAACGAUUCUAUAAACAAAAUUCAUUUAAUUCAUCUAAUCGCCCUUGCCAAUUACCUAAAAACAUUGCAUCAGAUAAAGCACACAUAAAUGGAACAGCUGUACAGAAAUUAGAACUUUUCCUAUUGUUUCUGCAGUUAGUCGGUAAUGAUGUACCACAUGGAAAUAUUGGCUGGGAGGUUUAUCUUAUACUUCGUGAAAUAUGUGACAUUGUUAUUGCCCCAAUUGUAGAUAGUGACAGUAUAUACAUGUUAGAAGAACUAGUUGCUAUGUUUUUGAAAACAUUUUCUGAAGUAUUUGGUUCUGAAUAUAUUAUUCCAAAAAUGCACAUGCUUGUUCAUUACCCUCGUCUGAUACGUCUUUUUGGGCCUUUACGAAAUUUUUGGUGUUUACGAUUUGAAUCUAAACAUCAGUAUUUUAAAAAAGCUGCCUCAAAUGGACGAUAUUUUAAGAAUAUUACCAAAACAUUGUCAAAGCGUCAUCAAAUGUUGCAGUGCUGAGAAAUGCUGACAGGUGAUAUGCUUUUAUCUAAUUAUACUGUGUCUGGAAACGCACCUAGAUUUUUUCAUAACUUGGAUGUUAAAGUACAAGAAGCUAUAAGAUUGUUACUUAAUUUAGAUAUAGAAGGGAAUGAAUCCAUAGUUAUAGCGAAAUCAAUAUCAGUUGUAUAUAUUUAUAGUUGUAUAUAUAUAUAUAGUUGUAUAUAUCAUAUGUAAUAAUGUAUAUACAUAUUACUUGCUAUAACCUUGUAUAAUUACUUUAAUGUGAUAUUAUUUAAAUGUCAAAAGUAUAUCAUGUCAAAAAUGUAUAUUUUGGUUACUGUUCACAAGCUGAUUGUUGUAAGAUAAUAUACCACUCUAUGUACAGUUGUAACUUCUUUUUAUUAGUUGGCUAAUGUGGUACAAGGUGAGGAUGACAUAAGCAUAAAAAAACAUCAAGAUGCUUUAAAAAAUGAAAUAAAAAAACAGACACCAAGCUUUGAUAUAAUCAAAGAUAAAAUGAAAAGAACUUGUGAGUACAGACAACUUUUCUGCCAUACCCACACAACUGCAGAAGUUCUGGAAGAAUUUCCGUGUUUACGACUAAAUAUUUUUUUUACAGCAGAUGUGCUUUUGCUGUAUGGUGUAGAUGUAACCAAUUUAAAAAUAAAAUUUCUAACCCUUUAUGAUGGUGUGAUCAAAGAAGCAGCCAAAAGAUGCAAAAAAUAUUGUGAAUAUUCAAGAAUGAUAAACAAAUAUUUAGAAAAAACUUUGGACAAUGAUAAACAACAGGAUUGGAAGGUGAUGUUUGUUACAUUGCUGUUACCCUCAUUAUUUGGGGAGAAAGAAGAGUUGUUUUUUCCCUUACCAAAGCAGCUAAUACCACUUAGUCCAGUCAUAUUGUCACAAGACGACGAGUGGAAUAUAUCAGUCGACAAGGAAGUUUUGUUUCUUAAAACUAUUUGCACUUUUUCCGCGGCUUUUCAAGCAUGGUUUGCAGCAUUUUGGAUAUUCAGCAUUGAAUUCCCAAAAGGAUUGUCCAAUACAUGUCAAUUUUUAGAAAAAGUGCUUCUUGGUGGGAAAGGAAAAGUGCCAAAUAUUGUCAGCAAAUGGGGCAACCGUCUUUUGCACUAAAAUAUGACUUUUGUUUUUUUGUCUGUUUUUGUUGUAAAUCUUUAUAAUUUAUUUAUGUUUUUUUGUCACUAAAUUCGAAAAAACUUCUGAAUAUUUGCAAUAUUUCUAAA